rnacentral:rRNA from 1 species
CUAAGAAUCUUGCGCAAUGGGCGAAAGCCUGACGCAGCAACGCCGCGUGGAGGACGAAGGCCUUCGGGUCGUAAACUCCUUUUGCGAGGGAAGAAGAUCUGACGGUACCUCGCGAAUAAGCCACGGCUAACUACGUGCCAGCAGCCGCGGUAAUACGUAGGUGGCAAGCGUUGUCCGGAUUUACUGGGCGUAAAGGGUGCGCAGGCGGCGUCGCAAGUCAGGCGUGAAAUCCCCGGGCUUAACCUGGGAACUGCACUUGAAACUACGAUGCUCGAGUAUGGCAGAGGGAGGUGGAAUUCCACGUGUAGCGGUGAAAUGCGUAGAGAUGUGGAGGAACACCGAUGGCGAAGGCAGCCUCCUGGGCCAAUACUGACGCUCAUGCACGAAAGCGUGGGGAGCAAACAGGAUUAGAUACCCAUGUAGUCCCUGAGCGGGCUGGCAAGGCGCAU